rnacentral:tRNA from 1 species
CCUUCCUUAGCUCAGUUGGAAGAGCAUCAGACUGUAACUGGUUACCGUAUCAUCUGGGGGUCGCCUGUUCGAACCAGGCAGGAAGGA